UAAGACGAACCGAGCAAACGUUAUUCGGAAUCACUGGGCUUAAAGGGCGCGUAGGCGGUCUCGUAAGUCUGCGGUGAAAUCCUCCAGCUCAACUGGAGAACGGCCGUGGAUACUGCGAGUCUCGAGGGAGGUAGGGGCGUGCGGAACAGAUGGUGGAGCGGUGAAAUGCGUUGAUAUCAUCUGGAACUCCGGUGGCGAAGGCGGCACGCUGGACCUCUUCUGACGCUGAGGCGCGAAAGCCAGGGGAGCAAACGGGAUUAGAUACCCCGGUAGUCCUGGCCCUAAACGUUGGGUACUAGAUAGUAGCCUUCACAUGGGGUUACUGUCGGAGCAAAAGUGCUAAGUACCCCGCCUGGGGAGUAUGGUCGCAAGGCUG
rnacentral:rRNA from 1 species